AGUCUGGUAGCUCAGUUGGUUAGAGCACUACACUGAUAAUGUAGGGGUCGGCAGUUCAAGUCUGCCUCAGACUA
rnacentral:tRNA from 1 species